GGCAGGCCAUACAACUUCUGUGAGACUUGCUUGGCAUGAGUGGCUGAAUUUGCUGGAGCCUUGGGCCGCACUCCCUAGUUCGGUGAGAAAGGGCCCCAGAGCUGGUGCAGGCGGGAACGAUAAGGGAGUUACCAGCAAUUUGCAUCUGAAACAGUGCUAAUUGCUGGAGUUACCAUCUCUUUGUCAGGACCUUGAGAGACAACAGCAGAACCCGAGGAAUGGAGACACACCUGUGGAAGAAACUGCAGCAGAAAACAGCCUGCCUAGGAACAACGAUGAGAUCCAAUAAGGAGCAGGAGACGCCAGACCCAGAAAAUUACUAUUGGUCCAAACUACCGCGUGAGGGGUGGAGAGCUUAGAUUGGAAGGUAUAAUUGUCCAGGGAUUUCUUUGUUCGGGGUCUGUCUUUGGAGGUACCCAACUCGAGCUGUGCGAAGAGGACCUACCUACCACCAGAUGGAAGCCCCCCCACCGCCGAGACUCCCAAAGGAAGAGGACCAACGGGACAACGCUGGAUCCACGGAAUCUGAGUUUCAACCACUGUUCAACACUGAGAAGAGAAGCAGUCAUGCAGAGGUGCUUCAUUUUGGACCUUCAUUGAGGGGGAGUGCCUGACGUUUUUCUAGCUAAAUUGGUUUCCAGUAUAAAAGUAAACUUGGGCUUUUAAGUAAACCAAAGUACCUGCUUUCCAAACCAAGUUAUGGGAAGGGUUAGCAUGAAGAGAGAUAAGAAUGGAAAUUGUUAAAUCUUUAAUGCUUUUACCACAAAAUUCACCAUUUUCCACGAAAAUAAUAUAUUAUUUAAAAUUUAUCUAAAUUUUCUACGCGGAAAGCAUACCUCACGUGAGUAAGAAGGUUCUUUCCAAACUACCCGUUUUUCUGGAAGCUUUAAAGCUUGAGAAUGAUUUCCAGAUACAUCUUCCGAACAUGAGUGUGGAACAAGCUGCUGUGGUGACAAAGAAGAUUCUUCAGAUUGGAAAAGAGAUGGCUGAAGAAGAAAGUGUUUAGAGAUCUAUCAAAUUAUGACCCAUAGGGAAAGUGAACAGAUAAUGGCUGUUCCUUGUCUCUUCCAAUUCAAUGAUUAAGGGGCAUCAAAUAAAACUACGAGACAGCAAGUUCAGACAAAAAGAAUUGAUCCUUUAUACAUUGAAUUGAGCUGUGGAAGUCCUUGCUGCAAAAGGUGGUGUGUACUAAUGUCUGUAUGGGCUCAAAAAACAACUGGAAAAAUCUGUGAAUGAAAAAUUCACAAAGAGUCUCUGAGCUAUAAAUUGCUGAAGGCCAAGAGAUUAUUCUGGAAAAGUUUCACUGUAUGCUUACCUCACCUUUAUAUUCCCUCCAAAGCAUCUGCUGUUUGCCGCUAUUGCAGAAGGGCUAAAAGGACCUUCAGUCUGACUUGGUGCAACUGUCCUUAUGUUCUUCAAUUUUGACUCAAAAUAAGGGUCUUUUAUAUACAGUAGUAUCUACUGCUCAUUGAGCUUACCAAAGGUCUUGUUCAGCUUUAUAAAUUCAAGCAGACUUAACAUUUCAAGGGCAGUUCUAUUCUGUAAAGAGGCUUCACAUUUGUCAGUUUCAGUAUUUCCCACCAUAAAUGUGCUCAUUUUCACACAGAA